UAGUAACUGCGAGUGAAGCGGGAAAAGCUCAAAUUUGAAAUCUGGUGGUCUUUGGCCAUCCGAGUUGUAAUUUAGAGAAGCGUCUUCCGCGCUGGACCGUGCAUAAGUCUCCUGGAAUGGAGCGUCAUAGAGGGUGAGAAUCCCGUCUUUGGCAUGGACCCCCAGGGCUUCUGUGAUGCGCUCUCAAAGAGUCGAGUUGUUUGGGAAUGCAGCUCAAAAUGGGUGGUGAACUCCAUCUAAAGCUAAAUAUUGGCGAGAGACCGAUAGCGAACAAGUACCGUGAGGGAAAGAUGAAAAGCACUUUGGAAAGAGAGUGAAACAGUACGUGAAAUUGUUGAAAGGGAAACGCUUGAAGUCAGUCGCGUCGACCGAGACUCAGCCUUGCCUUUGGCUUGGUGUACUUCUCGGCUGACGGGUCAGCAUCAAUUUUGAUCCUUGGAUAAUGGCAAGGGAAAGGUAGCACCUUUACAGGUGUGUUAUAGUCCUCUGUCGGAUGCAAGGGUUGGGAUUGAGGAACUCAGCAUGCACCUUGUCGGUGUCGGGGCCUUUUGGCCUACGUUACGUGCUUAGGAUGCUGGCAUAAUGGCUUUAAACGACCCGUCUUGAAACACGGACCAAGGAGUCUAACAUGCCCGCGAGUGUUCGGGUGGAAAACCCGUGCGCGUAAUGAAAGUAAAAGUUUGGGACCUCUGUCGUGGAGGGCACCGACGCCCGGACCAGACCUUCUGUGACGGCUCUGCGGUAGAGCGUGUAUGUUGGGA
rnacentral:rRNA from 1 species